rnacentral:tRNA from 1 species
AAGGGUAUAGCUCAGUGGUAGAGCACAUGCUUAGCAUGCACAAAGUCCUGGGUUCAAUCCCCAGUACCUCCA